rnacentral:rRNA from 1 species
GAUGAACGCUGGCGGCGUGCCUAAUACAUGCAAGUAGAACGCUGAAGGAAGGAGCUUGCUCUUUCCGGAUGAGUUGCGAACGGGUGAGUAACGCGUAGGUAACCUGCCUGGUAGCGGGGGAUAACUAUUGGAAACGAUAGCUAAUACCGCAUAACAGUAGAUGUUGCAUGAUAUCUACUUAAAAGGUGCAAUUGCCCCACUACCAGAUGGACCUGCGUUGUAUUAGCUAGUUGGUGAGGUAACGGCUCACCCAGGCGACGAUACAUAGCCGACCUGAAAGGGUGGUCGGCCCCACUUGGACUUGGACACGGCCCCGACUCCUACCGGAGGCCGCAGUAGGGAAUUUUCGGCAAUUGACGGAAGUCUUACCGAGCAACGCCGCGUGAGUGAAGAAGGGUUUCGGAUCGUAAAGCUCUGUUGUAAGAGAAGAACGAGUGUGAGAUUGGAAAGUUCACACUGUGACGGUAUCUUACCAGAAAGGGACGGCUAACUACGUG